GAUAUUGUGGCCGAGUGGUUAAGGCGAAGGACUUGAAAUCCUUUCACGAAAGUGUCGCAGGUUCGAAUCCUGUCAAUAUCG
rfam:Aureococcus anophagefferens unplaced genomic scaffold ATRANscaffold_5, whole genome shotgun sequence.